rnacentral:rRNA from 1 species
CCUACGGGAGGCAGCAGUGAGGAAUAUUGGUCAAUGGGCGCGAGCCUGAACCAGCCAAGUCGCGUGAGUGAAGACGGUCCUAUGGAUUGUAAACCUCUUUUGUCGGGGAGCAAAAGACGCCACGCGUGGCGUUCCGAGAGUCCCCGGAGAAAAGGCAUCGGCUAAAUCCGUGCCAGCAGCCGCGGUAAUACGGAGGAUGCGAGGGUUAUCCGGAUGUGUUGGGUUUAAAGGGUGCGUAGGCGGACGCUUAAGGCAGCGGUAAAAUUUCGGGGCUCAACCCCGUCGUGCCGUUGAAACUGGCGUUCUUGAGUGAGCGAGAAGUAUGCGGAAUGCGUGGUGUAGCGGUGAAAGGCAUAGAUAUCACGCAGAACUCCGAUUGCGAAGGCAGCAUACCGGCGCUCAACUGACGCUCAUGCACGAAAGCGUGGGUAUCGAACAGGAUUAGAUACCCCUGUAGUC